UACGGAGGGAGGCUAGCGUUGUUCGGAAUUACUGGGCGUAAAGCGCACGUAGGCGGACUGUUAAGUCGGGGGUGAAAUCCUGGGGCUCAACCUCAGAAUUGCCUCCGAUACUGGCAGUCUCGAGUGCGGGAGAGGUGAGUGGAAUUCCCAGUGUAGAGGUGAAAUUCGUAGAUAUUGGGAAGAACACCAGUGGCGAAGGCGGCUCACUGGCCCGUAACUGACGCUGAGGUGCGAAAGCGUGGGGAGCAAACAGG
rnacentral:rRNA from 1 species